CCUCUCAUUCAUCUAUGAUUGAAAAUCGCUCUAGUCAAACCCAAUUCCAACCCUUUCGGUCCUGUUCAAAGUUCCUGUAGUCGGACUCCUUUGUCAAUCCCUACCUAGCUACUACAAUAAGCCUCCCCUUCCGUCUAUUAGCCACAAGCCUCCUGCUUCCGUGAACACCUCUUAAGAACCCUUUGCUUGAACACUAACUACAAGAUUCCACUACUAUUCCUUCACAUUCAAGUGCCUUCCUCCCCUAUUUUCUAUCAUACCAUUUCCCAACAACAGCAGUGGCCCAAAAUCACCUCAAGCAGCUCAUAGCCCGCCUCACUUCAAAAAAAAAGAAAAGAAAAGAUUGAGAGAGAGAGAGAGAGAGAGGGAUCUACGUUUUGGACUGUGGAGGGAACGUUGGAGGAAGCGGAAGCGAGAUUCCGGAAGGAAAUGGAUUUCCCUCUUCAUUCCUUUUUCAUGAUUGAUGAUCCUCGAGUUGCAUCCCAGAUCUUUUCUUGAUGAGGGUUUCCCGGUUUCGCUAAGCAGUUUUUGUUUGCUUGUUUUUUUGCUUUCUUCCACCAUCUUGGUGGAUUCUCUUAGGAUUUUCUCUUUUUUAUUGUUUGCGAUCAUUUUUCUUUUGUUGUUUCAUGGAUUAUUUAUCUGAUUUUACUUUAAAAUCAGAUAUGAAUUCUUCUUUGGUUUCAGAUGUUUUCCCGAUGGGAAUUAAAGAGUGGAAUGGAGUAUUGACUUCUAGUCAAUAUUCAUCCAAACCUUUCUCAGUUUCUUUUUUACCGUCUUCUGAUAAUCUUGCUUUGUCUCUGAAGGUGAUGUCUCUGUUGCUUCGGUUAAAUGGGGCCUUACACUUGUAGGAUACUCAUUGGGUUGUGGUUCAAUUGUUUAUCCAUCUGUGUUGUGUCCAACUCAACCGCCACAGCAAUUGAUGACAGCUAGUGAAAAAUUGUUCGUGAGAACCAGGAAGACUUUCAGAAACCGAAUAAGGGAAGAAGUAAAAAUUGGAAGCUUUGGAAUGUUGCUUCAGGCUCAAUGAUAUUAUCAGUUUUGGGAAAGUUGCCUUGGAGAAUGUAGAAAACUUAAUGAUAACUUGGACUAUUUUGCGGCUGCCACCGGCUUAUUGGUUAAUACCGGUAAAAACUCUCUUAUUUUUUCUAAAGAUUGUCCUUUAGAAGAUACUAUUAGUUACAUUGUUGGCAUUAGAACUUCUUAUAAUACCAUUAAAUAUUUAGGUUUUCCCCUCUAGUAAGAAAUUGAAAGUUACUGAUUUUCAGCCUUUAUUUAAUAGGAUUACUAUUUUGUUUGCUGAUUGGAAAGCUAAAUUGCUCUCUUUUAUUGAGAGAGUUCAAAUUUUGAAUUUCACUAUUUCCAAUAUUAUUUUGUAUUGGAUCAGGGGUUUUGCUUUGCCUAAAUA